rnacentral:rRNA from 1 species
AAUCAACGCUGGCGGCGUGCCUAACACAUGCAAGUCGCACGAGAAAGGGUCUUCGGAUCUGAGUAAAGUGGCGCACGGGUGAGUAACACGUGAAUUAUCUACCUUCGAGUGGGGAAUAACUUCGGGAAACCGAGGCUAAUACCGCAUAAUAUCUACGGAUCAAAGAAGUAAUGAGCUUGAAGAGGAGUUCGCGGCAGAUUAGUUAGUUGGCGGGGUAAUGGCCCACCAAGACGAUGAUCUGUAUCCGGCCUGAGAGGGCGCACGGACACACUGGAACUGAAACACGGUCCAGACUCCUACGGGAGGCAGCAGUGGGGAAUUUUGCGCAAUGGGGGAAACCCUGACGCAGCAACGCCGCGUGGAGGAUGAAGUCUCUUGGGACGUAAACUCCUUUCGAUAGGGAAGAUUAUGACGGUACCUAUAGAAGAAGCCCCGGCUAACUUCGUGCCAGCCGCCGCAGUAA